AGUAAGUGAGAAAACUUGGUUUACGAAACCGACGCGAACGAACGGUUCAACGAUAGUCGAGCAAUUCACUAUCUGCUACCACGACCAAUCAUCACCAUUGCUUUCUUGCCAAACUCAAAUGCUCCGCGCUCAAGCAAACACUUGCGUAUAAACUGCGGGCAUAGAUUCGGGCUCUAUGAAAGUGCUCUGCGAAUAAUGUGAAAGUGACAAAAAUGUAAAACAUAUAAAAAAAAAAAAUAAAAAUAAAAAUA